rnacentral:snoRNA from 1 species
AAGAUUAUACUUUCAGGAAUCACUUUUAUAGUUUGUUAGUAUAGAAGUUUUUCUGAAUGUGUAGUGUACUGGAAACCAAGAGGAGGAUUUGAGGUAUUCUCUCCUGAAUGUGAAGCUGGCUCUUGGUGUUGCUGUAAUGUAACUGCCAUUUACCAUUGAUGAUUGCUUUUUCUCCUUUUUGUGGGGGGGGGGUAAGAGGGAGAGGAUGCAUUUUGAGUAGU